AUACAAUAAAUUAAAUAUAUGAUUUUGUAGAGUGAUAUAUGAUAAUUAU
rnacentral:guide_RNA from 1 species